AAAUGCUUUACGGCUCCUAUAAAACACAUUCGGCGCGUACAGUUCACCACUAAAAAAAGUCCAUAUGAGCAGAGGCCUUUUCUAUACAAUCACCUGGAUGUGUUGCAGGGAUCUACGAAGGUCUUCCGUAUGUGUGUGUGCGAACACGUGUAUGUGUGUGAUUGUGUGUGUGAGCAUGGGUGUGCCUGCAUGAGUGUGUGAGAAAUGAACAUAAAGAGAGAACAAAUGUGUGUAUGUGCACGCACCCACAUGUGUGUGUGUGUGUGUGUAUGUGUCAGCGUACUUGGAGUUCAGUGCAGAUGAGAAGGUUAACAUUUUCCAGCGGGGUGGUGGUGCAGUGGGGCUGCCGCUGUGUUUUGUGUGUGUGUGUGUGUACCGGUGGCCUCCCUGGUCUUUGAUGUGGGAGUGGGCACGCUUGCACUGCACAUAAGCACACAGCCAAGACAACGCAGGAGUGGCUUCGGGAGAAGUCUCUGAAUGUCCUUGAGUGAACCAGCCAGACCCCGGACUUGAACCCGAUCGAACAUCUCUGGAGAUACCGCAAAAUAGACGUUCAGCAAUGCUCCCCAUCCAACCUGACAGAGCUUGAGAGGAUCUGCAGAGAAUGGGAGAAACUCCGUAAAUACAGAUCUAUCCGCUGCCUUUGACACUGUGAACCAUCGGAUCCUCCUCUUCACCGUCACAGUGCUGGGCAUCUCAGGCUUUGCACAAUGUUGGAUUGCAUCCUACCGGACAGGCCGCUAGUACCAGGUAGCGACACAAAUCUCUGCAUGCCUCGCAGAUAUCUCAGCUUGGAUGUCUGCCCACCACCUCAAGCUCAACCUCGACAAGACGGAGCUCCUCUUCCUCCCAUGGAAGGCCUGCCUGCACUAAGACCUCUCUCUCCAUCACGGUUGACAACUCCACAGUGUCCACUUCCCAGAAUGCAAAGAGCUUUGGUGUGACCCUGGACAACAAACACUCUGUGGUUCUCUGCAAACAUCAAAGCAGUGACUCGCUCCUGCAGGGUCAUGCACCACAACAUCCAUAGAGCACGACCCUACCUCACACAGGAAGCUGCACAGGUCCUAAUCCAGGCACGCCAUCUCCCGCCCGGACUACAAGUUCUCCCAUGUCACGCGCUGCUCUGUACACUCCACUGGCAUCCAGUCGAAACUUUAAAGUUCUUGAAAUUUUCCGAAUUGACUGUCAUUUCUCUCUGCUUAUUUGAGCUGUUCUUGCCAUAAUAUGGACUUGGUCUUUUACCAAAUAGGGCUAUCUUCUGUAUACCACCCCUACCUUGUCACAACACAACUGAUUGGCUCAAAUGCAUUAAGAAGGAAAGAAAUUCCACAAAUUAACUUUUAACAAGGCACACCUAUUAAUUGAAAUGCAUUCCAGGUGACUACCUCAUGAAGCUGGUUGAGAGAAUGCCAAGAGUGUGGAAAGCUGUCAUCAAGGCAAAGGGUGACUACUUUGAAGAAUUUCAAAUCUAAAAUAUAUUUUUUGGGUUACUACAUGAUUCCAUGUGUUAUUUCAUAGUUUUGAUGUAUUCACCAUUAUUCUACAAUGUAGAAAAUAGUAAAAAAAAAUGUUUAGAAAACUGGAAUGAGUAGGUGUCCCCUAAUUGUAAAAAUAUACUUAAUUACAAAAAGUAAAAGUAGAAAUCAUUUCAUAUUCCAUAUAUUAAGCAAACCAAAUGGCACUGUUUUCUUGUUAUUUAAAUGUAUGGAUAACCAGGUGCACACCACAACACUCAGACAUAAUUUACAAACAAAGCAUUUGUGUUUAGUGAGUCCGUCAGAUCAGAGGCAGUAGGGAUGUUAUCUUGAUUAGUGCAUGAAUAGGAUCAUUUUCCUGCCAUGCUAAGCAUUCGAAAUGUAUCAAGUACUUUUGGGUGUCAGGGAAAAUGUAUGAAGUAAAAAGUACAUUAUUAUCUUUAGGAAUGUACUGGAGUAAAAGUAAAAGUUGUCAAAAAUAUAAAUAGUAAAGUAAAAGUACAGAUACCCCAAAAAACUACUUAAGUAGUGCUUGAAAGUAUUUUUUACUGAAGUACUUUACACCACUGCCGUUCUGCUACCCCUGGUUUCUUGGCCCUCCCACCCCUACGGGAGGUCAGCCCAGCCCAGCCAAAGCUCUUUUUCUAUCCUUGCACCUCAAAUGGUGGAACCAGCUUCCCCUGAAGCUAGGACAGCAG